ACUCGAGUGGCGAACGGGUGAGUAACACGUGGGUGAUCUGCCCUGCACUUCGGGAUAAGCCUGGGAAACUGGGUCUAAUACCGGAUAGGAGCCAUUUUUAGUGUGAUGGCUGGAAAGUUUUUCGGUGUAGGAUGAGCUCGCGGCCUAUCAGCUUGUUGGUGGGGUAGUGGCCUACCAAGGCGGCGACGGGUAGCCGGCCUGAGAGGGUGACCGGCCACAUUGGAACUGAGAAACGGUCCAA
rnacentral:rRNA from 1 species